rnacentral:rRNA from 1 species
GGGGAAUCUUGCGCAAUGGGCGAAAGCCUGACGCAGCAACGCCGCGUGGGGGAUGAAGGCUCUCGGGUUGUAAACCCCUUUCAGCAGGGACGAAAUUGACGGUACCUGCAGAAGAAGCCCCGGCUAACUACGUGCCAGCAGCCGCGGUAACACGUAGGGGGCAAGCGUUGUCCGGAUUUAUUGGGCGUAAAGAGCUCGUAGGUGGCUAAGUAAGUCGGGUGUCAAAUCCCCAGGCUCAACCUGGGUCUCCACUCGAUACUGCUUUGGCUAGAGUCCGGUAGGGGAGCGUGGAAUUCCUGGUGUAGCGGUGAAAUGCGCAGAUAUCAGGAGGAACACCAGCGGCGAAGGCGGCGCUCUGGGCCGGUACUGACACUGAGGAGCGAAAGCGUGGGUAGCAAAC